CAGUAGCCGCGGUAAGACAGAGGAUGCAAGCGUUAAUCGGAUUUACUGGGCGUAAAGCGUGCGUAGGCGGCUUUUUAAGUCGGAUGUGAAAUCCCUGAGCUUAACUUAGGAAUUGCAUUCGAUACUGGGAAGCUAGAGUAUGGGAGAGGAUGGUAGAAUUCCAGGUGUAGCGGUGAAAUGCGUAGAGAUCUGGAGGAAUACCGAUGGCGAAGGCAGCCAUCUGGCCUAAUACUGACGCUGAGGUACGAAAGCAUGGGGAGCAAACAGGAUUAGAUACCCGCGUAGUCCCUGUCUCUUAUAC
rnacentral:rRNA from 1 species